GUAUAUUUAUUGUUACUUCUUUCAGAUCCUUUUCUUGGUGUGUCUUGAUGUUUUCUAUUGGCUAAAGAAAUGUCUCUGUGAAACUGACAAUCUCAGGUAGGAGCUGCUGGUUUGUGGUUGGCAGUAUGGAUCACAGUCUGCGACUCAUGAGGAGCUGGGCUGGAGACAUGAAGAGGUUGUCAACAGGCCAUCCAUCCAAGAUCAUCUAUCUGAGCUGCUGAAAACUGCCUCGGUACGGAUCUGUUGGAGCUUUGUGUCACUGACUGUAUUUCUGCAAAUUCCUGUUCCGUGUCACAUGGCUUAUGCAAGACUGAAUCCAUAAAGGGGAUGGUCUGUGGAGACUGUGGGCGAUUCCUUCUGCUGUCAUUUAAACAUGAGCAGGAGUAAUGACGGGAUUUAAAUGGACGCAGCUAAUAUUAUGCCAGAGUCCGCUGCUUAUGCUGUAACCAUAAAGCAACCAGGACAACACACCUGGAGUGACCGAGAGCAUGAUGAAGAAAGAAUCGGACGAGAAAAUAUCAACUGGUGCCCAUGAUGAGACAUAUUGUUCUUGGACCUGCUUUUUCUGUUUAGUAAUAAGUGGUUUUAUGUGGUUACAUAAAAGUAAUUUAAUAUUCAAUCCACAAGCUAAAUUUCCUACAUUUUCUUAAAAGGGUAGUUGACCCAAAAAUGAAAAUUCUGUCAUUUACACAAACAGUUUGGUUACAAACAUUUCUCACAAUAUCUGCCUUCCUGUUUAUCAGAACAAAGAAAUUUAUGUGGGUUUGUAACAACAUGAGAGUGUGUAAAUGAUGACAUAAUUUUCAUUUUUGGGUGAAGUACCCCUUUAACAUUUUUAUACCCAGGGGUAGGGGUGUGCAGCGGAGUCAGUAUUUGUAUCUGUAACAGUCUCAAAAUUAUUUGUAUCUGUAUUUGUAUUAUAACUUAAAUAACUGUAAAUAU